rnacentral:rRNA from 1 species
UACGAAGGGGGCUAGCGUUGUUCGGAAUCACUGGGCGUAAAGGGCGCGUAGGCGGCUUUAUAAGUCGGGGGUGAAAGCCUGUGGCUCAACCACAGAAUUGCCUUCGAUACUGUAGAGCUUGAGACCGGAAGAGGUAAGUGGAACUGCGAGUGUAGAGGUGAAAUUCGUAGAUAUUCGCAAGAACACCAGUGGCGAAGGCGGCUUACUGGUCCAGCACUGACGCUCAUGUACGAAAGCGUGGGGAGCAAACAGG